rnacentral:rRNA from 1 species
UGGGUGACCGCCUGGGAAUACUCGGUGCUGUAGGCCA